UACAGAGGUGGCAAGCGUUGUUCGGAAUUACUGGGCGUAAAGAGCGCGCAGGCGGUCGUUCAAGUCGAGUGUGAAAGCCCCCGGCUCAACUGGGGAGGGUCAUUCGAUACUGAUCGACUCGAAGGCAGGAGAGGGAAGCGGAAUUCCCGGUGUAGUGGUGAAAUGCGUAGAUAUCGGGAGGAACACCAGUGGCGAAGGCGGCUUCCUGGCCUGUUCUUGACGCUGAGGCGCGAAAGCUAGGGGAGCAAACAGG
rnacentral:rRNA from 1 species